rnacentral:tRNA from 1 species
UGGGGAUGUAGCUCAAUUGGUAGAGCGAUUACAGAGCAUGUAUUAGAUCUUGGUUCGACUCCUUGCUUCUCCAUCAAAAUUAUUUUUAUUUUUAUUAUUCAACAAGUGAUGACAACAAAAUUUAAAUACAAAUGUGAGUACAUUGAAAUAUUAACUUGGGGAUGUAGCUCAAUUGGUAGAGCAAUUAUAGAACAUGUAUUAGAUCUUGGUUCGACUCCUUGCGCCUCCAUCAAAUUUAUUUUUAUUUUUAUUUAACAAGUGAUGACAAUAAAAGUUUAAAUAUAAAUAGUACACUAAAAUAUCAACUUGGGGAUGUAGCUCAAUUGGUAGAGCGAUUACAAAGCAUGUAUUAGAUCUUGGUUCGACUCCUUGCGUCUCCAU